CCUACGGGCGGCAGCAGUGAGGAAUAUUGGUCAAUGGGCGAGAGCCUGAACCAGCCAAGUCGCGUGAAGGAUGACGGCCCUACGGGUUGUAAACUUCUUUUGUCAGGGAGCAAUUGGGUCCACGCGUGGGCUUAGCGAUAGUACCUGAAGAAAAAGCAUCGGCUAACUCCGUGCCAGCAGCCGCGGUAAUAUGGAGGAUGCGAGCGUUAUCCGGAUUUAUUGGGUUUAAAGGGUGCGUAGGCGGAAUAUCAAGUCAGCGGUAAAAAUUCGGGGCUCAACCCCGUCGUGCCGUUGAAACUGAUGGUCUUGAGUGGGCGAGAAGUAUGCAGAAUGCGUGGUGUAGCGGUGAAAUGCAUAGAUAUCACGCAGAACUCCGAUUGCGAAGGCAGCAUACCGGCGCCCAACUGACGCUGAAGCACGAAAGCGUGGGUAUCGAACAGGAUUAGAUACCCGAGUAGUC
rnacentral:rRNA from 1 species